UCUGUCAGUCGCCUCAGUCUGUCUAUGUGUGUGCGUUAGUUAGUCAGUUGUGCCUAUGCGCGUGUGUGUGCGAGUGUCUCGCUUCAUUUUGCCUUUGGUGUCAGUUGAAGAGAAAGAAAACGAAUAGCUCGUCGCAGCUGAGCAGAACGGAGCGGAGUAAACGGAAUAAAGUGUGCUUCAAGUCAAGUUCUAUGUGUUUGCCGGCAUUUUAAUGACGUCACGUCAAGCAGCGCAGUAACAGCCAUCAAGCAAAAGCAACAACAACUGCAAAGUCAGCAAAACCAGAAAGCAAGAAAAAUAAUAUCAAGUAAAAAGCCCGAAAUAAAAAUAAAAAAAAAAACGCGUUUCUUCUGCUGUCGCUCGCUCUCUACUGCCUCCCCCCGCACUAUCGCUGACCCGCUCUAAACCACACUCAGCUGCUCCGUGCGCGUGUGACUGUGUGUAAGUGUGUGCAAAAGUUACAAAUUCUAACAGCAAAUCAAACGAAAUUCGCAACAACAACAGCAACAACAGCGGAGAGAAUCGAAUCAAAUUGAAGCGCAACGCAUCGCUCGCAUCGCAUCGCAUCGCAUCAUCAGCUGCUUCUCAAGAUAAUGUAAAAUCAGCGUAUGCUCAAUAAAGAAAAGCUUAAAUACACACAAAAAUAAGAACAACAAAUUAAAUAUUAAAACAAAAACUGCUAAACUUACAAACAAUAUUCAAGUUAAAGCGUAUUUAUAUAUAAACGUUUGUUCGAAUCAAAAUUAAACUACAUAUAUACAACUCUUAGCCACGAUAGGCUUCAAGUACCCCAAGCUAUUAGCUAUUCCCAAGCUUUGUAAACAAUUAAAAAAAAAAAGAAAACAAUAUACAAAACAAGAACUCAUGCAAAGCGCUAAACAUCUAUGCUAAAUAUAUAUAUGUAUACCUUAUAUAUAUAGGUGCUGAUCUGUGCUAAGAGCUGUUUAUCAUAAAAGAAACAAAAAGUAACCCGAAACAAAACUUGUUGAAGCCAACGUCAUAAAGUAAAACGCGCAACAUUUCUAGUCGCCAGCUAAGCUAUCUAUAAAGUCCCCCAGCUAAAACAAAACUAUAGCUAUAAAUAUAUAUAUAUAUUCAUAUAUACAUAUACAAAAUACUGAAGAAUUGCUGCUGCGAUGGCCAACGUUGUUAAUAUGAACAGCCUGCUGAAUGGCAAGGACUCGCGCUGGCUGCAGCUGGAGGUCUGCCGCGAAUUUCAGCGCAACAAAUGUUCGCGCCAGGACACCGAAUGCAAGUUCGCCCAUCCGCCGGCCAAUGUUGAGGUGCAGAACGGCAAGGUUACCGCUUGCUAUGACAGUAUCAAGGGUCGUUGUAAUCGUGACAAACCGCCGUGCAAAUACUUUCAUCCACCACAGCAUCUGAAGGAUCAGCUGUUGAUAAACGGACGCAAUCAUCUGGCACUCAAGAAUGCACUAAUGCAACAAAUGGGCAUGGCGCCCGGCCAGCAGGUCAUAUCGGGCCAAGUGCCAGCCGUGGCCGCAAAUCCCUACUUGACUGGCAUACCAGCCAAUACAUACAGUCCUUACUAUGCAACCGGACACUUAGUGCCUACUUUGCUGGGACCCGAUCCGACGGCCGUCGCCUCACAGCUGGGCCCGGUGGUGCCACAGACCGUGCAAGUGGCCCAACAGAAAAUUCCACGCUCCGACAGAUUAGAGAUGGAUGUUAAAACGGUUGGUUCAUUUUACUAUGAAAACUUCCAAUUCUCUGGCAUGGUACCGUUUAAACGUCCAGCUGCCGAAAAGUCUGGCAUUCCAGUGUAUCAACCCGGUGCGACAACCUAUCAACAAUUAAUGCAGCCCUACGUGCCAGUGUCAUUUACUGGACACCCUCCCGGUGUGCCAAGAUUUUAAUAGAUCUAUGUGCAGUCGGUUAAAUUGUAGAUUCGUUCAUUUAACUGAAGAUGACAAGGUCGAGGUGAUUGAUCAACGUGUUGCUGUCUGUCGGGAUCAUGCCAACAGCCAGUGCCGUCGCAAGCAAUGUAAAUACUA
rnacentral:misc_RNA from 1 species